GUCACUGAAAUAUCGUGAGGAUCUUAUGCACAUUGGAUGAAUCGAUGGAGAAAGAAAACGCCGCAACUCCACAGCAUUGCUAAUAAUUACAUUUAAUGUAGGUAACGCGCACUUGUGUUUGUAUUACUGGGCUGAUAUUUUGACCACACGUUUUACCCAGAAGACAAUAACAAGGCCUAAAAUGUACAUACAUUCAUUGUACCACUCAAUCAACAAGUAAAAACUGUCAUGCAGGGCCUCAACAAUUGCAACGUAUUUAACCCGUGUCAGCCAAUAUGUUCACGAAUAACAUGAAAAAAGAGUUACGCAGACAUACUUAAAGACCUAGCGCCGAGACUGGUAUAUAAGUACAAGGGCAAUGCAACACAAAUACAAACUUUGACAAUUUGAUGAUUUUAUACCCAAGAACACAGAGUGCUUACUAGGGUGUUACACAUGUCAUUACCCCUCAUGAACGGCCUCAGUUAACCCGAGUCUGUUAUUACUUUGCUUGUUUGCGUUCUAUACACCUAAGGGUUUAUUACAUAAGCGUGUCUAUAUAUUUUAUUCAAAAGAAGUUGGAAAGAUUUCGAACUCCAUCAACAAUAGACAAUAGUUAGGAACAAGGUUACCGCUCUAUUGCAACCAUCGAUAAUUGUGUUUUGUUUUCAUCUUUUUUUACUAAACUGGAAUAUUUCAAAUGCGUGAAUAUUUUUUUCUACAUUGAAGUUGGUUUGGAAAUAUGGUUUAUCAAACACUUGAAAAGUUCGUCGAAAAACAUCUUUUCCUUGAAAGUUUACAAAAUGUACAAGCAUUACAAAAUUGUAAUUGGUGUCAGUUGAAAAAGGCCGCACAAUAUCGUCUACACAACUUGCACCAAUAAAUAUAUCGAGGUGUGGCUGCAACAAAACAUCAUGUUUGGCACAAAUAUUUCCAUUAUGUAUCCGAGGCUUUGAAUAUGAUUCUGUAGACACUUUAAUAUCAUUGUCAGAGCAAGAUAUACUCUCCAAAUUGUUAUAAGCGGUCAUCUUGUUAUUUUCAAAUUUAUUAUAUAGACUACAUCACCCUGUACCAGUAAAGACUCAUGGAAAAUAAACGAGAAGCCUAAAAUGAUUGUAUUACCUUGAAAAGUUAUAAACAUGAGUUAUGGUUAAGGAAAUCAACGGUUUGCUCUUUCUGUCACUGCCAAAGUCAUAUCUUUCAAAACAUGUUAACGAAAGGAAAACUACCCAGAGAUUUUAUGGAGAUUAAUCAAAUAGCAAAAAAAAAAAAGAAGAAAAAAAAACUCAAAUGAAAAGUACCAUUCUUGUGAAAUGUUUUGCAUUGAGAAAUAAUACUGAAAUUAAAUAUAAUGGGUUUCCUUGUAAUAAUUUUACUUUCACUGACUGAUUUACUUUCAAGAUAUAUUACAUUUCUCCUUUUUUACCUUAAUUAUUUCAUAUUUACAUAUUUUCUCAUGCGAUUAAUGUAGCAAAUUAUAAGUAUAAUUCAUUUAAAACUUUUGCGUAUUUGAAACAGCUAGUUGCGCAGUUACCUAUAUUUUGUUUGCAUUUAUGUUGAGUUAGAAAACAAGACGCAUUAAAACUACCAUAAUGUUCCUGGAUUCUGUACCAGUACAAACCUGUUCUCCGCAAGUAACUACCAACUUCCCCACAUGAAUCAGAGGUGAAGGACUAAUGAUUUCAGACACAAUGUCGUUUAUCAAAUAGUCACGGAGAACAUACGCCCCACCCGAGGAUCGAACUCACGACCCCACGAUCCGUAGACCAACGCUCUACCUUCUGAGCUAAACCAUGACUACUAAUUUACAUAACCACAGUUAAGGUAUGAUUCACUAAACUUGGGUAAAGUAAAUAUAUCAGUUUGAAUACAAUAUGUCCACAUGAAAACAAUAUGCGUCUUCCUUUGAUGUGUUUUAAUUCCUUGGCUGGACACUACUUGCAUUGUACCAACAGCAUAAUCAAAAAUUCAAUAUAUGAUGAUUGAAAUACAUCGGUGUAUUCAAGUUUAAUGAUAUGUUGCUUGCUUGCAUUCUAUGUUUCGAAAGGAUAGUCAUAGUACUUCCUACUUCUGUCUUAGUGAAGGCUCUACAACCAAGUUCUAGGCGGAGCUCCCUAAAAAUAAAUGAGUCUGGCCAAGAAAGAACCAGUUGUUCUAUCUAAGUGAAUCAGCGGACUGACCCUGAUAAAAGAUACAAGUAGAGUAUUUGAUCCUCAUAUGUAUAUAAUCAAGGUCAGGCCAAAUAUUUACUGCUAGGAUUAAUUUGAUUGAAGAAAACAUGGAAGAUACAUAAGUGAAAUGUGCUACUCUAAAACAGUUUUACAAUUAAAAUUUAUACUAGCACUACAUUUGUAUUAAAUUAUCAUGAUUAGAACUGAAAGACUUUUAAGUUAAUACAAGAAAAAAUUUUCAUGUUCCAAUUUUUAUUUGGGAUUUUUUGUGACAUAUUAUUUGAUUUAACUUGAUUAAAUUUUGGAACUUGAUAAUCUAGACUUGUGAAAUAUGCAGAUUUAAACUACUUGUCAAAAAGAUGGAAAACAGUCGAGUCAUUUUGCCCUCGCAAAAAGUGUGCAUUGACUAAUGCGGUUCUUGCUUGUUUGUUGUUUUCUUUUUCCGUUCUGUCUGUUUGGUGGAGGCGAUACAGCGAGAUAACGAAACCAAGAAAGUCGAGCAAAAUGUCGUUAUCAUUUCAUUAGUGUGGUCCAAAAGGACGAUACAUUGAAAGAAACGAAAAAACAACAAGACUGUCGUUAAAGCUGAAGCAUAUUACUUUCCGUGCAUUUACAAGUAUUUUAUAGAAUCAACAAAUUUAUCAAGGUUCAAAAUGCACGAGGGAGAUUACUCCGAUAAUGUCUUGUUAUAGAAAUCUUUGUAUGCCUUCCCUUGUACAUGCUGUAUAUUCUCGUCUUUAUUGUAUUGUGUAUUGUGUUGUGUUGUGUUGUAAUUAUCAAAUCAUAUUGUAUUCUAACGUUUCGUAUCGUAUUGCCUUAUAGUUUAUUUUAUCGUAUAUUAAUGUAUUUUAUUGCAGCUUAAUUGUCCCACGCUGAUGCUUAUGUUUUAUUUACAUGAUUUAAACAGUGUUAUUUUGACCGCGUUUCAGGAAGUGGCAUAUAAUAUUUACACUGAUAUUGGCUAAACAAUGGAAAGCUAAAGCUACAAAAUAAAGUUCUUACAUUCAUUCAUGGUUAUGAUUGGAGAACGUCUUUGAAUGUCUCAAAGCUUAGUUGGCCUAAUGAUGAAAAUGUACUAUACACAUUUACAAGAUAUUUUUAUUCUGAUAGCAGAAAAAAUGCUGGCAGCAUUUGUUUGUAUUUCUUUUCAACAUGUGUAUAUUUUUAUAUUUUUUAAGCUACAUAUGCUUUUAAACUGAAACUGGAUGAGAGAAGCAAUACGUAGUAAAGAUAAAUUUAAUUUGGUAUGUGACGUAUAUUAUUACAUCAAGGGGCAGGACGUGAAGUGGUUGCACACUUGGUUCAAGCGAGCGAAUUGGUUGCAAACUUACAAAAUGGCGGAUAUUUUCUGAAAUCAUCGCGUGUUCGCUUGUUUUUUUAUCAGAUCUUUUCAGGUCUAGAUGCUAUGAAUAUCAGACGCUAUUAUGACCCGAGAGCAUGAACAUGAAUCUUCAUUAGUUGAACAAACUACGCUAACACGUAUAUCAGAAAUAAUCGUAAGAGACCACGAGUUUAACCGAAGGAAAGGAAGCGUACCAAAGUAUGGAACAUUUAGAAAAUUGAAUGAUAUAUCAAGAGGUGUUCGACCAGUUAAGUCACAUUACAGAGUUGACGAGUCCACUAAGACUAUAUUUUGAGCGAACACACAAAUUAAAAUACAACGCAACAGUUACACUGUAUACAAUGGAUUGAAACUGAUAAACUAUAACAAGAAAAUGUUCGGCUGCGAUUAAAUCCGUCUUCUCUGAAAAUGAAUAAACAUAAUUAUGAUGUUUUCUGUUGAUUGCCACCACAAAUUUAAAUGCAAACUCUACUGUUUUCAAUUUUGCCUUAAUAAAGUUGCUUGUGUCCAAGGUUACAUCUUUUUGGAUACCGUGCAACUUGGAUUUUGCCUUUUCCGAAGUUGUUUGUGGUACUUCUUCUUUCUGUUUAAAACCAUUCAAUUUUCAAAUCAGAAACUUUAAACGACAAAAUUAAGCACGUGGUAAAAUGAUGGGAACUACAUUCAUGUUUCAGCAGAUGUUACACUGCAUCAUAGAUGAGUUAAAUAUUUUAUCUCAGUUUUACUCUCACUGUACAUCGUCCAUGUGUUUAGUGCUAGUAUCGAAUUAUUUAUUGUUUUGAUACACAGUAGUAUGACUUAUAAGAUAUUCAAAGACGACGAUUUAUGUUUCAGAAACAAAAUAUGAAUUAUGCCGCAUGUCCGUAAAUGGGUAUUUUACAUGUAUCUUAUCACCAACACUCAUUAGCCUUGUUUCAUAUUAUGAUCAUGUUAUAUCGACACAAGAUUGCGCAGGUGGAUAAACAACUACUAUAACUUCUAAUGACUUCAAAACAUUUUACAUCAUAAUCAUAUCUUAAGA
rnacentral:lncRNA from 1 species